CGAAAUGAGGAUAUAAUUUGCGAUUGAGCGCGUCGUACCGAGUCCACGCCUGGUCUCAUCAAGGGCGACGUGUCGUUGAUAUUCAAUUUCUUACAUAUUCUGAUC
rnacentral:snoRNA from 1 species